AUGGUGUAAUGAUGAUUCUUAUCCCUUACCUACAUUGUUUGACACAAUCAUGAAAAGCAACAUUUUCUGAAUAAGAU